UACCAGCCCCGCGAGUGAUCGGGACGUUUAUUGGGCUUAAAGCGCCCGUAGCCGGCCUGUAAAGUCACCGUUUAAAGACCCGGGCUCAACUCGGGGAACGGCGGUGAUACUUACAGGCUAGGGGGCGGGAGAGGUCGGAGGUACUCCCGGAGUAGGGGCGAAAUCCUCAGAUCCCGGGAGGACCACCAGUGGCGAAAGCGUCCGGCUAGAACGCGCCCGACGGUGAGGGGCGAAAGCCGGGGUAGCAAAUAGG
rnacentral:rRNA from 1 species